AAUGGAGCCCGAGUAUAGUGUGUUUGUCGGUUAACUGUUAUUUGGCCUAUUUUACAGUUUUAAACGCAGUAUGAGGUUUGAUGUUUUCAUUUUAUAGUUUCGUGUGCAUAUUUUACUGUUUUAUUAAUUAUGGAUUGAAUGACUGAGAUAUUGACGCUGUAUGUUGUCCGUUUGGCAUAAAUUACUGUUUUGCUUGUUUGUAUGUGAAUUGAUGAUGCUGACUGAGGAAAAAGAGAAUGAAAGAUUAUGUAAAUUGGUAAUCGUAUAAUGUGGUCAGCCUGACUAGAUAUCCUGGGAGAUGGUGGACGGACCGGGUCCGUAGGGAACCCUACCGGGAUUGUGGUCUCCCGUACCGGACGGGGUAUGGAGAUCU
rnacentral:lncRNA from 1 species